rnacentral:lncRNA from 1 species
AGUGGUAAGAUGCCUGCACAGUUGAUAUGUUAUGUAUUUACUGACACAAACAGAUUUACUAAGCUCAAGAAUUUCACAAUCCUAAGAUCCUUUGGCUUUAAUCAACCUGUACCCAGUCUCAAACUUCAGUUUUCAUCAAACUCCAGAUCUUAUCACUUCCAAUGAUGAGUAAAUGUUUUUCUCAACCUUUUAAAAUACUCUGCAUGUUUGGAUCUACUUGAACUUAAGGACUUUACUGUGUGUGGAGUUACUGGACCUCUAUGUUCCAGGACAAUAGCAUACUUCAGUCGUCAGGGAUAGUGGGUGCAGGCCAGGCUGCAGCAUUCUCACAAGAACUAAGGUGGUUUUUGGACACUGCACAUGUAAGAUGGAGAGGUUGUGAUGAGAGGAAUGAGUAACAAUGUCACAGCAGGGAAAAAGAAUCAAACAUUCAAUUAAAAGGAAACUGCUAGUGCAAAAACUGAGGUUCUGUUAGCCAACAUACAGAGUUUGGAUGCUAAGGAAAAUUAGAAUUCCAUGACCAUUGGACAUAUGACCUCAAAAAGGAGAAGGAAAAGAACCUGAUAAAUGGAUAUGGACAAUGAGCUUGUUAAGAAGGAUUACACAGAGGAGUCAGGAGAUGUAUGUGGAUGGAAGUCAGGAGUACUUAAUGAACCCACAGACCAGCUGGAAAAGCAAAAAAGCUCAGAAAAUGAGUCUGGAAGAAAAUUGGUGAAUCCAAUCCAGAGGACGUACAAGCACUCUGACAGGCUCAGAGAGCAGAGUCUGUACCAAAGAGCAAUUACCCCACCAAACGAUUUCAGGUACAAUUGACCUAAAUAUAGCACUCUCUUGAGAUUAUUGACAAGAGUUCAUUUCCUGUAGUGCUUUUCCCAUUUGCUACCCCUGGUAACCACUGUGAUCAUAUCUGCCUGGUGCUGCAUGACUUCUGGGAUGCAGUUAAGAGUUCUGCUGUGCAUUAUCUUUAAACAGACAAUUCAUGCUAAAAGAGUCAUUUGCAGUUAAAUUAGAUGAUGCAUAUAUUAUUCUUGCUGCUGAAGUUACAAAGAACAGGAACGAGUGCCUGAAUCCGUUUGGACCUGGAUGCACU